rnacentral:rRNA from 1 species
ACUCAAUAGAUACCCGGGUAGUCCACGCCGUAAACGAUGAAUGCUAGCCGUUGGCGAGCUUGCUCGUCAGUGGCGCAGCUAACGCUUUAAGCAUUCCGCCUGGGGAGUACGGUCGCAAGAUUAAAACUCAAAGGAAUUGACGGGGGCCCGCACAAGCGGUGGAGCAUGUGGUUUAAUUCGACGCAACGCGAAGAACCUUACCAGCCCUUGACAUGCCACGACGGUUUCCAGAGAUGGAUUCUUCCCCGCAAGGGGCGUGGACACAGGUGCUGCAUGGCUGUCGUCAGCUCGUGUCGUGAGAUGCUGGGUUAAGUCCCGCAACGAGCGCAACCCUGCCCUUAGUUGCCAUCAUUAGUUGGGCACUCUAAGGGGACUGCCGGUGAUAAGCCGCGAGGAACGUGGGGAUGACGUCAAGUCCUCAUGGCCCUUACGGGCUGGGCUACGACACGUGCUACAAUGGCGGUGACAGUGGGAUGCGAUGGAGCAAUCCUGAGCAAAUCUCAAAAAGCCGUCUCA